CUGCCUCCCCACCCACGCCCGGUGGACGCCGCCGCCCGAGGCCGCCUCGCCAGAGCUGCCGCCCGGGGCUCGCCAGAGCCGCCCGGGGCCGCCGCCCGGUGGACGCCGCCGCCCGGGGCCGCCUCCCCGCCAACGCCGGGUGGACGCCGCCGCCCGAGACCGCCCACGCCCGAGGCCGCCCCUUGCCCAGACCGCCUCGCUCCCCGCCCCUGGCCGGCGCCGCUGAGCCCAGGCCACCUCGUCGCAGGCCGAGGACGCUGCCGUCUGCGCCCUGAGACCUCCGCCACCGUCCACAGCCUCCGCGACCGUUGCCCCGAGGCCGCAGCGGCCCGCCGCCGCGUUACCCGAGGCCGCAGCCGUCCCCGAGCCCGCCGCACGCUGUCGGCAAGGCCGCCCGAGGCCGUCGUCGAGUCUUCUCACGUGAGCGCGCGCACGCGGCCGUUCGCACGGGGCCGAACGCGGCCGCACAUGAGCGCGCGCACGCAGCUUCACACCGGUCGCCAGCUGUCACUCCUGUGGGCAAUUCAGGAUGUUAACGAGACUCGAGAGGAGGAGGCGAGGGGUGAGGAUGCGGCCGAUUACGAUGCGGCCGAUGCAGACUAUGAGCAGGAAGAUGAUGCUGGAGGUGGAGCUGGAGAUGGGUGGUCUUCCGGUGGUGGUCAGUUUGAGGGUGGAGGUUACCCCAUGUUUGGUAGUGUUAUCGACUCGACUCAGGUGAGGCCUGAAAGGUCUCGCCCAUCGAGGUCGUCUAGCCGUGGUCCUCGCUCUAGUACCCAAGGAAACGCCGAGCUGAUCCGGGUGCAGGAAGCUUUGAGGCGGCAGGAGGAGUAUAACAAGCAACAACAAGAGUACUGGGCUGCUCAAUUUGCACGACAGCAGGAGAUGAUGCAGCAAAUAGCACUAGGGCAACGUCCAGAUUUUUCAGCGAUGACUAUGCCACCUCCUCCACCUAUCCCGCAGUUUGUACCGACUCCACAAUUUAGUUGGCCCACACCUGCACCUCAGGUCCCUCCAGGAAACUUGCUAACUCCGAGAAAUGAGGACUCUGAAGAUGCGGUCGCUUCUUUUGUGGACGGUCUUCUAAACAGCGGAGGAGCUAGCGGAUCAAAUCAACCCCCUCCAUUUGAUCAACCUCCUCCAUUUGAGUAG
rnacentral:misc_RNA from 1 species